GAUGAACGCUGGCGGCGUGCUUAACACAUGCAAGUCGAACGAUGAACCGGGUGCUUGCACUCGGGGAUUAGUGGCGAACGGGUGAGUAACACGUGAGCAACCUGCCCCUGACUCUGGGAUAAGCGCUGGAAACGGCGUCUAAUACUGGAUAUGUCCCGUCACCGCAUGGUGUGCGGGUGGAAAGAUUUUUCGGUUGGGGAUGGGCUCGCGGCCUAUCAGCUUGUUGGUGAGGUAAUGGCUCACCAAGGCGUCGACGGGUAGCCGGCCUGAGAGGGUGACCGGCCACACUGGGACUGAGACACGGCCCAGACUCCUACGGGAGGCAGCGGUGGGGAAUAUUGCACAAUGGGCGGAAGCCUGAUGCAGCAACGCCGCGUGAGGGAUGACGGCCUUCGGGUUGUAAACCUCUUCUAGCAGGGAAGAAGCGAGAGUGACGGUACCUGCAGAAAAAGCACCGGCUAACUACGUGCCAGCAGCCGCUGUAA
rnacentral:rRNA from 1 species